rnacentral:tRNA from 1 species
GCCGGGAUGGCGGAAUAGGCAGACGCGUCGGUCUCAAAAACCGAUGGGGGAAACCCCAUGAGGGUUCGACUCCCUCUCCCGGCA